AUUGAACGCUGGCGGCAGGCCUAACACAUGCAAGUCGAACGGUAACAGGAAGACGCUUGCUUCGUUGCUGACGAGUGGCGGACGGGUGAGGAAUGUCUGGGAAACUGCCUGAUGGAGGGGGAUAACUACUGGAAACGGUAGCUAAUACCGCAUAACGUCGCAAGACCAAAAAGGGGGACCUUCGGGCCUCUUGCCAUCGGAUGUGCGCAGAUGGGAUUAGCUAGUAGGUGGGGUAACGGCUCACCUAGGCGACGAUCCCUAGCUGGUCUGAGAGGAUGACCAGCCACACCGGAACGGAGACACGGUCCAGACUCCUACGGGAGGCAGCAGUGGGGAAUAUUGCACAAUGGGCGCAAGCCUGAUGCAGCCAUGCCGCGUGUAUGAAGAAGGCCUUCGGGUUGUAAAGUACUUUCAGCGGGGAGGAAGGGAGUAAAGUUAAUACCUUGGCUCAUUGACGUUACCCGCAGAAGAAGCACCGGCUAACUACGUG
rnacentral:rRNA from 1 species